CCAUUCAUUAGAGGGAAAAAUGCGGGAAUAAAGUGAAAGUGCGGUUAAACCGUCUCUCCCCUGCAGAGCUGGAGCUGCUCUGUUUCUCCUUUACACCAUAACGUAGAUGUUCCUCAGCGUCCACCCUGGGUCGCUCUCCUGAGGUCGCCAACAAAAUCUGCAGUAAACAGUCAACUCCAGCUGAGAUCCGAGAAGAAGAAGAUGGGUCGUCGCAGGCCAGACAGGUCCAACAUGGGUCAAGGUGAAGAUCCUCAAGGUCCAGAAGAGUCUGAAGAGCCUCAAAGUCCAAAAGACUCUGAAAAUCCUAAAGAUCCAGAAGAUUCUCAAGAUCCAGAAGAGGAACCUCAGACAACCACCAGGAGAAGAAGAUCUCUGAUUAUUCCUCCUAUUUUCUCCUCAGAACUCCCACCUGCUGCCAGUGUCGAGGAGAAUCAGGACACAACACCAUCAUUAAACACCAUCACUGACCCCAAAGAGGAGGCAAAGUCAAAUAAUGUUCUCAGUGUUUAAACACAGACAGACCAGAGAGGACGAGAACUUUAAAUAGAAAAAAAAAAUUUAAAAACAGCAUUAAUUGAUGAAAUAUUUUUUAAAAACUAAAUUCACUGAACUGGAAUCUUUCUGAGCGUCUGAAUAACUGUGGGAACUGAAACAACACAAUGGCAGCUUUAAUGAACACAGCAUGUGUUCUAUUUUUCUGUGUUUUUAUAUUUUUGUAUGAGUUUAUGUGCAGUUUUUGAUACUGAAUUUUUCAUAUAAAAUCAAUGCAUGCAAUAAAUCCA